GCUCUUGGAGGAGGCUAGGGAAAUUGUGGAUAACGGUGCGGAGCUUUUGAAUACCAAGUUUACAAGUUUCAUACGAUCUAAAGGCAUUGAUGGGGAUCUUGCAAUCAAGGGAAAGGAGAAGGUCCAGGAGAGAAGACCAGGACUUGGGCGUAAAAGGGCUCGAUUUUCCCUCAAGCCUAGUACAAGUCAACCUACUGUCAGCAUAGCUCCUCGUUUAGAUAUUGAUCAACUAUCAGAUCCAGUGGAAUUUUUCUCAGUUGCUGAAAAGCUAGAAGUUGCUGAGAAGGAAAUAGAAAGACAGAAAGGUGGCAGUAUCCAUGAUCCAGAUGUGAAUAAUCCCCCAGCCAAUGCUCGGCGUCGUCGACCAGGCAUCUUGGGC
rnacentral:misc_RNA from 1 species